rnacentral:rRNA from 1 species
CCUACGGGAGGCAGCAGCAGUGGGGAAUUUUGGACAAUGGGCGAAAGCCUGAUCCAGCAAUGCCGCGUGUGGGAAGAAGGCCUUCGGGUUGUAAACCACUUUUGUACGGAACGAAAAGGUCUGCCCUAAUACGGUGGGCCCAUGACGGUACCGUAAGAAUAAGCACCGGCUAACUACGUGCCAGCAGCCGCGGUAAUACGUAGGGUGCGAGCGUUAAUCGGAAUUACUGGGCGUAAAGCGUGCGCAGGCGGUUAUAUAAGACAGUUGUGAAAUCCCCGGGCUCAACCUGGGAAUUGCAUCUGUGACUGUAUAGCUAGAGUACGGUAGAGGGGGAUGGAAUUCCGCGUGUAGCAGUGAAAUGCGUAGAUAUGCGGAGGAACACCGAUGGCGAAGGCAAUCCCCUGGACCUGUACUGACGCUCAUGCACGAAAGCGUGGGGAGCAAACAGGAUUAGAUACCCUGGUAGUCCACGCCCUAAACGAUGUCAACUGGUUGUUGGGUGCAUUAGUACUCAGUAACGAAGCUAACGCGUGAAGUUGACCGCCUGGGGAGUACGGCCGCAAGGUUGAAACUCAAAUGAAUUGACGG